rnacentral:sRNA from 1 species
UGGUUAGUAUGGCUCCGCGUGAGGCCUCGGCACCAGAGGAGGCACGUGGGCCUCGCCGAGCCCGGCAUCUACCCAGGCUCGCUGGGGACGGCGCCCUGCAGCGUCCUGCUGGGGUGGGCUGGCAGGUCGGCCGGAGCGGGCCAGAGCCCCUGCCGAUCCCAGCACGUUGUAGGCGGAGGAGGCCGCGGCCCGAGGCUCGUGAGGGAGAUCCGGGAGGUCUCGGAGGCCCGGGCUCGGGCUCGGGCUCGGGCCCCAGCUAGGGGCCAGCGGGGAGCUGGAGCCUGGAGACAGCGGUCUGUGCCGGCCACUGGUCCUCGGACCCCGGCCGGGGGCCUGAUUACCUGGGUGGAGGGCUGGGAAGAAGAACGGGACCUGCUACCCUGGGGAGCCGCGCAUUCGGAAGUCCAUGGCCAAGACUCGGGGACGAAUCCGCGGAAGGGCGGCUUGGUCGGCGUGCUUUCGGAGAGGAGGCCUGGGUUUGAGGAGCUUUUUAGCGUCCCCAGAGGAAAUUAGUUUAUCAGGGCGCACUGUACAGACCCAAACGGGUGUUACAGUGGUGUAGGGAGAAGGCUCUCAUUGCAUUCUCCUUUAGCUGUGCCGGGACUGGGCUGUGCGGCGCCCUCCUCCUUGGUUAUUUGAGAAAGUUGUUUUUCCGUGUUCUUCGUCCCAAGAUCCUACUUUUCCUCUUUUGUUGGGACUCCCUGGUUAACAUUUCCGGUUCUUCUGCUCUUUCUGUCUGGUUGGGCUUUUAAAUGCCUUUUGGUUUAAAAUCUUGAUGGAGAAGUAUCAAGUCCAUUGUGGGUAGGUCUCUUGAUUGAUUGUGUGUGUUCGGAAUAGAUCUUAAAGCAUCCCUCUUAGAUUGUUACUGGGAAGAGACGUUGUAAAAAAUAAAUCAGUGAUUUUUGUAGUGGCCAAAUGUUUGAAAAGUUGAUCCAGUUAACACAAGUUUUAGAUGAAGUUCUUUUAGACAUAAAGGAAGGGAGGUAAGAUGUGUUCUUGGAAAAGUCUGUUUAGUUCUGCAGAGCUUUUAAACGUGAAAGUACAGGUUGGUACGAUGCACAAGUGCAUUAAUGGUGUCAAGUUUGUAGAGAGAUAAGAUUAACACAAGCUUCUUCGUAAGAGUGAAGAAACUGGAACCUUGUAGGAUGUGCUUUGCCGGGUGAUGCGUAGAUUAAGCGAAUCAAAAUGUCAGAAGUUCUUGACGGUAGUGUUGCAAUAAGAUUCUAGGUUUUAGCCUUAACCUUGUCCAAGCUGGAGUGGACAGGCACCUAGAAUACUUUGCAACUCCCUUCAUGAGAAGGUGGAUGAGACAGGAUUAAGGGAGAUGAGCUAAGACGGAUCAGGACCCUACUCUGAACAUGUAGGACAAGGAUUGAUUUCACAUGAAAAUUGUGGGUAUGCAAGGCAUUUUGUAUGCCUGCACUCUAAUUUUGGAAAAAAGUAAAAUAGUAUUUUUUGAAAUUGGGAAUGUUAGGGCAAAUAAAAGGAAAUGUUCAUUGUAUUGUGGUUCAUAAACUAAGAGACCUUCAUGCUUGUAGAGAUUGGGGAGACUGGAAAGUUUGAGUGAGUCAAGAGUGCUAGAAUGAUUUCCCCAUCAAAAGGGCAUGACCCCAGGCCCCAAGCUUGUAGAGCAGCAUCUGCCCCAUUAUACCUCUGGCAGUCAGGCAAUGAUGCCUCUUGGUCCUCUGGCAAAGGGAGCACACUUCCAUUAGUUUUGUAUUUGUAUGGACUUUUAUACCUAUGACGUUUCUGGUUCCGUUAAUCUUGUUUUUCUGACUGAUUGAAUCUUCAUCUCUGUUAUCAUUUGUGUAUUUUCUUAGAAAAAGCUUGUGGCAAAGGGGGGCAAAAAAAAGAAGCAAGUUCUGAAGUUCACUCUUGAUUGCACCCACCCUGUAGAAGAUGGAAUCAUGGAUGCUGCCAAUUUUGAGCAGUUUUUGCAAGAAAGGAUCAAAGUGAACGGAAAAGCUGGGAACCUUGGUGGAGGGGUGGUGACCAUCGAAAGGAGCAAGAGCAAGAUCACCGUGACAUCCGAGGUGCCUUUCUCCAAAAGGUAUUUGAAAUAUCUCACCAAAAAAUAUUUGAAGAAGAAUAAUCUACGUGACUGGUUGCGCGUAGUUGCUAACAGCAAAGAGAGUUACGAAUUACGUUACUUCCAGAUUAACCAGGACGAAGAAGAGGAGGAAGAUGAGGAUUAAAUUUCAUUUAUCUGGAAAAUUUUGUAUGAGUUCUUGAAUAAAACUUGGGAACCAAAAUGGUGGUUUAUCCUUGUAUCUCUGCAGUGUGGAUUGAACA